UAUAUUUUGGUGUAUGAAGCAUAUAAUUUUUUGAAAAUUAGGGUGAAUAGUUUAAGUCUUUUAAAUAUGA
rnacentral:tRNA from 1 species